rnacentral:tRNA from 1 species
GGGUGCUUAGCUCAGUUGGGAGAGCGCCGCCCUUACAAGGCGAAGGUCGGGGGUUCAAAUCCCUCAGCACCCACCA